AGUGGCCUAAUGUAUAAGGCACUGGGCCCCAAAGCCAGUGGUUGUGGGUUUGAGUCCCAUCU
rnacentral:tRNA from 1 species